UGGUAACUAAGGCGAUGCCUUGAGUUCUCCUAAAAACACAAAAGGUCACAUACUUAAAUCCUAAGAAAACAAGCAAAACCUAAAAUUAAAACCAUAAACCCUAUCGUGUUCCAAGGUACAUUUCCUCUUCUUUGCAUCUUUAACCAUUAUUGGAGCUUUCUGGCUUACUUCAAUCACUGUAUUUUCCUUUGAAACGCCAUACCAAACUUCUCCUAAACUCUGAGUUUGUCAAAGAAAUAAGAACUAUUAUUUUUGGCAGAUCAUCCCCAAACUCAGAAAGAAAUGACCCAUCUUCACCGAUUCAACAUCUUUGAUCGUUGAAGACUAUAGGUUCAACUUCCGUCGGUACCUCUUCUAUCUAGUAGGAUGGGCUAGUGAGAUAGUGCCCUCGAGCUACAAGGGUGUGCGUUACUUUAUUUGUAUUCCGAGGAUUAAAUUGAAAAGAUAAAGCAUCACCUUCAACUAUCAGAUCUUGAAAACCCAUUUCUUGCCAAAUAUUACGACUUGAAGACACGCCUUUGCUUCUGCAGUGGUCGGAUCCCGAGUUCUUCCUAAUGGGUAAGUACACGCCACCAUCAAAAGACCUUCAUGAUUUCUUAUAACGAUUCGCACUGUUGCUGUAAUGUCGUAUUGAAAAAAUGCUUCAUCAAAAUUAGCUUUAACUUGUCCUGCCUUGGGGGUCUCCAGAAUUCCUCCUUUGACUUAAUGUUGACCUCUGUUAUGGAUUUUAUUUUAUCUAACUCUAGAAUAUAAGCUUUAAUAAAACCCACAACCUGUUAUACCCUUCCCUUUUUCCUUUCAUGGUAGUAUUUAUUUCUAUUAUACCACAUUGCCCAAACUGAAAUUGCCAUGACUGCACACAAAUGAAUGUUAUUGAUGCAAAAGAAAGAGAUUGACCAUUGUUUCCAUGUUUAUUCUGUGUUUAUGUGCGAGACAUCAACUCCAACCUCUUGCUGAACCUUUUUUGUGAAUUCACAAUCUCGAAAAAGGUGUUCCAUAGUUUCUUCUUCCACUGAGCAGAUUGGACAGGGGUAGGUAGCCAAGCAUCAUUCCAGAUAUUUGUUAAUUCACCGUUCCCUAUCUUCCAGCCUAUUCCUUCUUCCAAUAAACUACGUACAUUUCGAAUGUUGUGUCAGGUAAAAGAGGGAGAGAGACGUAAGGAUUGAGACAGACAGGAAGAGUUGUUCCGUGUGGCCCUUCGCCUUCGCCUUUGGCUUUGGGUCCUCCACAUCCACAAAUUGACAUUGACCACUUGAUGUUCUCCUUUUGGGUUAAGACCCUUGAAUAUGAUUUAGGGAUUUUAAUGCCAUUCUAAAUGUGUACGAGAGGAAAGAGGGGUCGAAGAAUAGAAGCACAGUUUGCAAGCUCUUCCAAUCCUUUUUACACGAUAUUAGUUUGCAAGAUAUGGGGUUUCAUGGGCCAAUGUUUGCUUGAAAUAGGGGUGAACUUUUUCAACGCCUUGACAGAGCCAUUUGUAAUGAACAAUGGGUUAAUUUUGUUUUGAAUUACUUUGUACAUUAUUUGCACAAACUCAAAUUGGACCACAUGCCUCUCACUGUGGCCACGGAUUCGAUUACUUCAUUUGUUGGUGACAAACCUUUUUGAUGUUUAGCAAGUUGGCAAUCACACCUUGAGUUUAAUGACUUAGUACGAGGUAAUUGGAAUGUGUCAACUAAGGUGGUUGCUAAUAUAAAAGGGUGUUUAGGAACAUUUUUGCAAGGAAGAAAGAGUUGAUGACAAAGUUGUGAAAGGUGCAAAGGUCUCUUGAAUUGCGAGAUAAUCCAAGCCUACGUUCUUGUGAGAUCGAUUUAAAGACUGCUAUUGAGGACAUCCUAGAGUAGGAAGAACUUCUAUGGAUCCAAAAUUCUAGAAGUACAUGGCUUGCCAAUAGUGAUAGAAAUACAAAAUUUUUCCAUAGCCGUACUUUAGCUUGACGAAAAUGAAAUUGAAUACAAGGCCUUAGGAUUUAAGGAAUGGGGUGGUGUUAUGAUCAAGACACUUAAAAAACAUGCUAUUGAGUUUUACAAGAAUCUAUACAUGAUUGACGUAUUCCCUCCUACUGAACAAUUUUUCUGUCGAGGAAGAUUUCCAGCGUUGGAUAAUGAUGAUUUGGUGGUUCUUAAUGUUAAAGUCUCAAUUGAUGAAGUUCAAAAAGUGUUCUUCAGCAUGGCUCCUUUGAAGGCUCCAGGAGUCGAUGGUCUUCAUGCGAAAUUUUACCAGCUGUAGUAGGAGUGUAAUAGCCCAUUUUCAGUGGUGUCGGAAAUAGUAGUUAUGAGACCACAAUUCCAACAAAUAAGUCAGUAAUCCUCAAACAUAGGCAGGUCGGUGAGACAGAGUUUCAACGGUGACCACUAGUUCGCGGACUAGUUUAAUUAAUAGUUUUAUUUAAAUUAUGGAUUAUUUUGAGAGUUUUGUAAUUUCUGGACUCUCUGGACUGCUGGUUUUUAAUUUCGGGGUUUUAAAAUGGUUUAGAUUAUUAUUCUGCGACUAUUAUCAAAACGAUUUAUGAAAAUAAUGGUUUUACGCAAACAAAUAUUUUUCUAAAAACACAAGCUCAAAUUUCAAAUAUAAUGACUUCAAACUUUUGCUGCAAGAUAAGUUUUACUGUAUGAGUAGACUAUCGACGUUUUCCUUAAUGAAUAUAUUAAAAAUGUGUUUUAUAAAACGUGGACUCUCUUUUCGUAACAAAUUAUUCAAGAAAUUUUGACACGGAAAAAUUGGUUUCAAAACCCUUCUUUCUAACAUUCCCAGAUUCGACCAUAACAUCCAAGCCGGGUUUGGGGUGUUACAAAUAUUUAUAGGUAUUUAUUAAAGUCAUAUUAAAUUUUGGUUAAGAAAUUUUAAUGUUUAACUAGUUAAUUAAGUAAAAAGAACUAAAUUGUAAAGGUUGCAAAAUAUAAUUACUUUUAGUUAAUUGUGUUAAAUAGAUAUAGAGUCAAUUUUAGAUGGUUUUAAAUGGCAAUUAUGCCAUAGCUUAGGAUAGUGGACGAUUUUGAAGGUUAGUGGUAAGAAAUAUUAAGAUUUUAAAAAGGUAAAGUGGUAAUUUGAUAAUUAAAUAAAAAUUAAAUUAAAACAUAAUAAAAAAAUAAUUGUCAUCUUCCUCAAUUAGAUUAGCAAACCGAAAACACCAUUGUUUUGAAGGGUGAACAUUCGAUCGAGCUUGGUCUCUCAUGCAUGGUAUGUGUUUGAUUCCUUUUUAAUGUUUUUUAUGUUUUUGUGAUCGUAUUAGCUUAAUUUAGCUAACCCAGGGGUUAAAUUGUAAAAUUGUUAGAGGUUUUGGAUUAUGUCAUUGAUGAGUUGAGGUGUUUUGUAUAGUUUAAAAGUAAAUUAUUAAGCUUGAUAGUUAAAUAGAAGUAUUUUGUAAAAUGGUUUUUUAUGAUUUUGGUGUUAAAGGAUUAAAUUGAAAAUUUUGUAAAGUUACAUGGUAAGUAUUGUGAAAUUGUGUUAGACAUGGGCUGUUGUGAGGUCUUAUGAAAUUCGAUUAGCUUGGGCUUCGUCUAAAUGUGGUCAAUUUGUGAGAUUUGGAAUUUAAAGACUAAAUUGCAUAAAGAGUAAAACUUUAGGGGUAAUUAUGUAAAUAUCAAUGAAAGGGCUUAUUAACUUUAGAAUAAUUAAUUGAGAUGUUUGAAUGUAUUAAUUGAGUGGAAAUUUUCAUUUAGAUCAAGAAACAACUCAAUUAGACGUUAAUCGCGGAAAAGCUAAAGUAGCGGAAUAAACUUCAGUUUCGUGUUUCUGACUGUUUCUAUCUCGAUUUUGAAAAGAUUUGACAGUUUGAAGAUCGAGUAGGAGCACAUACACUAUCCGUUCAUCAUCUCUGUAGAUGUUUUGGGUCAUUUUGAUGUUGGUUAUGAGUGACAUGUUUUGGUUAAGUUGUUCAUGUAGUUAUGUUUAGUACUUGAAAUGAUGAUACUUUGUAGUCCUAUAUAUAUGUUUGGUAUUUUGGUUUAAUGGUAUUGGAGUACAUGGUUUGGUC